rnacentral:rRNA from 1 species
UACGGAGGGUGCAAGCGUUUAUCCGGAUUCACUGGGUUUAAAGGGUGCGUAGGUGGGUUUGUAAGUCCAGUGGUGAAAUCUCCGUGCUUAACAUGGAAACUGCCAUUGAUACUAUAGAUCUUGAAUUUUCCGGAGGUCAGCGGAAUAUGUCAUGUAGCGGUGAAAUGCUUAGAUAUGACAUAGAACACCGAUUGCGAAGGCAGCUGACUACAGGAAUAUUGACACUGAGGCACGAAAAGCGUGGGGGAUCAAAACCAGG